GACGAACGCUGGCGGCGUGCCUAACACAUGCAAGUCGAACGGAAAGGCCCUGCUUUCGUGGGGUGCCCGAGGGGCGAACGGGGGAGUAACACGUGAGUAUCCUGCUCUUGACUUUGGGAGAACUUCAGGAAACGGGGGCUACUACCGGAUAGGAGCUCCCGCUGCAGGGUGGGGGGGGGAAAGUCUCGGCGGGUGGGGAUGGACGCGCGGCUUAUCGGCUUGUUGGUGGGGUAGGGGCUUACCAAGGCAUUGGAGGGUAGCCGGCCGGGGAGGGUGGCCGGCCACCUUGCGACUGAGGUACGGCCCAGUCUGCUACGGGGGGCAACGGUGGGGAGUCUUGCCCAGUGAGCGGACGCCUGAUGCAGCAGCGCCGCGUGCGGGAUGACGGCCUUCGGGUUGUGAACCGCUUUCGCUUGUGACGAAGCGUGAGUGACGGUAAUGAAUAAAGAAGCACCGGCUAACUACGUG
rnacentral:rRNA from 1 species